rnacentral:snRNA from 1 species
UCAUUUGUUCAGCAGAAUCAAGAUAAGGAAGUAAGUGAAUGAGUUCAAGACAGUUUGACAAGCCUAUGAAAAUAACUUUCCAUUGCACUCUGGGUGUGCUGACCCCUGCGAUUUCCCCAAAUGUGGGAAGCUCAACUGCAUAAUUUGUGGUAGGUUUAGGAUAGGUUAGGCUAAGA